rnacentral:lncRNA from 1 species
GGAGUCUGUCAACCAGGAAUACACCUAACAAGGGUUGUCAUUGAUGACUAAGGCUGUCACGUUCUGCUUUGACAGGAUCCCCCUUUUAAAGAAAAAAAUCUGGAGGAGGGAUGGGGGAAAUCACACUCUCAUCUCAUGGCUGCAGAAGUAUAUUUUCUUCUGAAGUAGAGAAAGAAUUUCCAAAAGGAAAGGAUGAAGAUUUUCUCUUAUUGGUACAAGAAAUUCUGCUUUCACUAUCAAAUCUGGAAGAGAAGAUAGUCUAGAACCUGAAGAAGGAGUUCAUAGAAGACAUCUCUGCAAGGAACCUUACAGCCAAAAUGGAGAAGGAUUUUACUAGGUCACCAAAGACUACAGAACUGGGGUAAGUAUUCUUUAUUUUGCUCUUCUUUUCUUUCAUUUCCUUUUAGAUGUUUUUUCCCGAACUGGGUAUAAAAUUUGUCAUUUUAGUUUCCCCUGGAAUUCUAAUGGUAUUUACCCUGAGUGAAGUUAUUUUUUAAGAUUGGCAAUUACUUUAACAUGAGAACUAGAGAAGUCUGAAAGGAGAAGAUAAUCCUCACAUCUUACUGGAGCAGAAAAGAAUUG